AGGAGCCGUGUGCGUUAAUAGCGCAAGCACGGUUCUGUGAGGGGGAGGAACACAAUCUACCGUAAGGUGGAGAGGUUCCUUUCUACUCGAC
rfam:Bacillus sp. LF1 genome assembly, contig: CONTIG000005